AAUAAAAUCAUAACAUUUGUAAAUUCCAACAAUCGAAUGAAAAUGUAGUCUUUAGGCAUAUUUUGCUGCCUGAAAUCCAGUCAUGAUGUAUCUUGCCUGUAUGAACAUCAAUUGUUUUUCUGACCUUCCUCAACACUCUUGCUCAUAAGUGAUAUUACAUGGGCUGGCUCAGGGGCUCCAAACACUGAACUUCCUGCCACAAUGCAGUUUGCACCAGCUGAAGCUGC
rnacentral:misc_RNA from 1 species